GACAGAGGGGGCAAGCGUUGUUCGGAGUCACUGGGCGUAAAGCGCGCGCAGGCGGCAACCUAAGUGGCGUGUGAAAGCCCCCGGCUCAACCUGGGAAGGCCAUGGCAGACUGGCUCGCUCGAGUCGCGGAGAGGGUGCUCGAAUUGCCGGUGUAGCGGUGAAAUGCGUAGAUAUCGGGAGGAAGACCAAGGGGGAAGCCAGGGGGCUGGCCGCAGGCUGACGCUGAGGCGCGACAGCGUGGGGAGCAAACCGG
rnacentral:rRNA from 1 species